GGGAUGCAAUUCAGAGCAUCCCGGUUUUCAACCGGGAGGGUCGUAGGUUCGAACCCUACAGUUCCCA
rnacentral:tRNA from 1 species